rnacentral:rRNA from 1 species
AUACGUAGGGUGCAAGCGUUAAUCGGAAUUACUGGGCGUAAAGCGUGCGCAGGCGGUUUUGUAAGACAGUGGUGAAAUCCCCGGGCUCAACCUGGGAACUGCCAUUGUGACUGCAAGGCUGGAGUGCGGCAGAGGGGGAUGGAAUUCCGCGUGUAGCAGUGAAAUGCGUAGAUAUGCGGAGGAACACCGAUGGCGAAGGCAAUCCCCUGGGCCUGCACUGACGCUCAUGCACGAAAGCGUGGGGAGCAAACAGGAUUAGAUACCCUGGUAGUCCACGCCCUAAACGAUGUCAACUGGUUGUUGGGGAUUUAUUUUCUCAGUAACGAAGCUAACGCGUGAAGUUGACCGCCUGGGGAGUACGGCCGCAAGGUUAAAACUCAAAGGAAUUGGCGGGG